CUUAUCAACCGACUUGAUCUUUGUACCAUUUCAGCUUCAAGUUCCUUCUUUUCGACCUGUUGUUCCUUUGCAGGUUCUUUCUUUUCAACCAACUUCAAUUUUGGUACAAUUUCAGCUUCAGGUUCCUUCUUUUC